rnacentral:rRNA from 1 species
GUUUGAACCGCAUGGUUCAAACAUAAAAGGUGGCUUCGGCUACCACUUACAGAUGGACCCGCGGCGCAUUAGCUAGUUGGUGAGGUAACGGCUCACCAAGGCAACGAUGCGUAGCCGACCUGAGAGGGUGAUCGGCCACACUGGGACUGAGACACGGCCCAGACUCCUACGGGAGGCAGCAGUAGGGAAUCUUCCGCAAUGGACGAAAGUCUGACGGAGCAACGCCGCGUGAGUGAUGAAGGUUUUCGGAUCGUAAAGCUCUGUUGUUAGGGAAGAACAAGUACCGUUCGAAUAGGGCGGUACCUUGACGGUACCUAACCAGAAAGCCACGGCUAACUACGUGCCAGCAGCCGCGGUAAUACGUAGGUGGCAAGCGUUGUCCGGAAUUAUUGGGCGUAAAGGGCUCGCAGGCGGUUUCUUAAGUCUGAUGUGAAAGCCCCCGGCUCUACCUGGGGAGGGUCAUUGGAAACUGGGGAACUUGAGUGCAGAUGAGGAGAGUGGAAUUCCUCGUGUAGCGGUGAAAUGCGUAGAGAUGUGGAGGAACACCAGUGGCGAAGGCGACUCUCUGGUCUGUAACUGACGCUGAGGAGCGAAAGUGUGGGGAGCGAACAGGAUUAGAUACCCUGGUAGUCCACGCUGUAAACGAUGAGUGCUAAGUGUUAGGGGGUUUCCGCCCCUUAGUGCUGCAGCUAACGCAUUAAGCACUCUGCCUGGGGAGUACGGUCGCAAGAUUGAAACUCAAAGGAAUUGACGGGGGCCCGCACAAGCGUUGGAGCAUGUGGUUUAAUUCGAAGCAACGCGAAGAACCUUACCAGGUCUUGACAUCCUCUAACAAUCCUAGAUAUAGGACCUCCCCUUAGGGGGCAGAGUGACAGGUGUUGCAUGGUUGUCGUCAGCUGGAGUUUUGAGAUGUUGGCUUAAGUCCCGCAUCGAGCGCAACCCUCGAUCUCAGUUGCCCGCAUU